GUUUUAUCCAAUCUUAAGAAAGGAAGAACGUUGCAAUGAGGUCCUACCAGAGCACAGAAGACAAGAUCUGCCCAAGAGUACUGAGGCACCUGCCAGAAGAGUUCAUCAAGACACUUUCCAUCCUUUGCCAGCAGUCCUGCCUAACUGGGGAUGUCCCAGUGGACUGGAGAAAGCUGUGCAGCGCUCAAGACACAAGAAAGACAUUUUUUACUCUGGCACAAGGAAGACCUCUGUAAGUGGAACAGGAUGGGAUCCAGGCACUUAGCACAGUGAGGAAAAAUAUCCCAUGGAAGAAAAACACUCAGAACAAUAUUGCAUCCAUUCUGCUCACUGAAUUGAGGACUACCUGAUCUAGUUGAAGAUGUCUCUGCUAAUUGUGGGGGGGGUGGACUAGAUGACCUUUAAAUGUCCCUUCCAACACAAA